rnacentral:rRNA from 1 species
UUAAAUCAUUAAAUUAAAAAGAUUUGGCGGUAUCUUAUAAAAUUAGAGGAACCYGUAUAAUAAUUGAUAGUCCACAAUAAAAUAAACUUAGACAYUUAUGUAUUGCUGUUAUAAGAUUAUUAUUAAUUAAAUUUUUAAUUAUUUAAUUUAAAUUAAUUCAAGUCAAAAUAUAGUGUUAUUAAGAUAUGGGUUACAAUUUAUUUAUGAAAGAGGAUUUAAUAGUAA